rnacentral:lncRNA from 10 species
GAUAUGUUUUCCUUCUUGAAUGCUCUUGGAAAAUGCUGAAAAGCUUAAUUGGAUAUUAUUCAAGAGCAAUACAUUUUCUUCCUGCAGAUAUAGACUUCAGUCUACUGAUCUGUCAAGAGUAAACAAUGUUUUUAAUGUAAAUUUGUUUUGCCCUGACAUCCUUGUAGACAGCUCCAUUUGAAAAUGAAUUAAUUAAUUGUUUCUCAUAUGCAAAGGGGCUGGUUACUCAUGAGAUGUAGGUCAUAAAAUCUGAGUUUUUUCCAAUAGGAAAUCGAUUUUCAUCGAUUUGUUCAUGUGUUCUUACAAAAUACCCCUUGAGACCAGAAGAAUGCAUUUAAAAACUGGCAGGCUGAGGUUAGAAGUACAAUCCAUAAUCAUGAAAUAGAGUCAGCGUAGCUGGCCCCAAGAUAUCCACGCCUGUGAUCUUGGUCCUGUUAAUAUGUUGCUCCAACCAGCUAAUCUUAAGAGCCCAAGUCUAACUGAAGGUGUAAAUGAUUAAAAAGAAAACAUUGUCAUAAUUAAUGCUAUUUGUAAUUGCAGCAAUUGUUUUAAAAACCGCAAGGAUUAUUCGCCGUUGAAAAUAAAAUCUUGUGCUCCAUUCAAGUACAGGCACAUCUUCUAAGGAACACCACCACACAAAGAAUGCGGAUUGUUUUUCCAAUGUUUUUAGAGAUGAUACUGCAUUGAGAAACGCCACAUACUGAGAGCUCUGGUAGAUACAUGGGGCAUAUACCAGACACUUAGCACAUAUGAUUUAUAAGGCCCCUGAACACUGUUCAGGGUGGAUACUCUGAAGUCUGUUUUACAAAUGAGAAAACUCGAAGCUCAUAGAGGAAAAAUACUUCCCCAAGGGCAGUCAGUGAGCGAGUGGCAGAACCAGGAUUUGAAAUUCAUAUCUGACUCCAAAUCUCAUUCUUUCUCCUCUAUGUCAUAGAACUAUUUCUUUAGUGAGGUUUCCCCAAGAUAAAAUCCCGGGAGUGGAAUUGUUGAAUCAAAGAGUGUGACUAUCUCCAUGGCCCUUGUUACUUGCUCAUCAAUGAAAAUAACAGUGAAAAGGAGACAAGAAGAAUAAAGUGAAUACUUAUUGUCUACCUUUCUUAAAGAUCUCAUGCUCUCUUCGGAUCAGAGGGGAACACUGUCAGGCUCUAUGUUUUGCAUUUGAAAAAAUUAUAUGCAGGAGAAUUUAGUUACUGGCUUAUAUUUCAUACAACCAGAUUUCUUGUGAUCUUAUGAAAUAUACUAGAAAAAGUUCUGUAAAAAAUUUAGCACAUUGUAAAUACAACAUUAUUAUUAUCCUGAAAGAUUUAAAUUCUUGUUGUUUGCAACUCUAUCGGCAUAGAUAGAAUUCUUAGUAAACAGAGGGACACAUAUUUAAUCUGUGAAUAAAUAAGGGGUCUUUGUGUAACAAAAAUUAGAGGGAUCCUUUUAGCCAGCAUAAAAAUAAACUUCGAGGAAACAAAGGGAUGCUUUCAUGGUUUGAGAUACACUAUUAUUAUUAUGCCUUUUCAACAAGUAUCAAUGCUCUCUCUUCCUUUUCACUGCAAACAGUGGAACCUUUGCUGAACUGACAGUCAGUUAGAGCCAGUCAACAGAAACUGCUUUGGGUCACAUGGCACCAAGAACUAUUGUUGCCAUCGCAACUGCACUAUGAUAAAUUAGCCUGUCUCCACUAAGCAUUUGGUUUGCCUACAUGCCCCAGAAGGUGUCGUUUUGAUAUUCUCCUUGACAGUUUUGAGCUAAUCUCUGAUUCAACCUUUCAUCAGGCUUGCUAACAUUUACAUAUAUUGAAGGAGAGAAAAAGGAAAUUAAUAUUUUUGACUCAUUAGACAUGUGUGUCAGUGUUUCUGGAUGAUUACAAUAUUUAAGGAGUAUUUUUGCAUUCUCAUAAAGUUUGAUCAUUGUUUUAGAAACCGUUCUAUACAAGGUUAACGUAGAUUUAUUUCACCUCUUAGAUACUUACAUAUUACUGUCACUUAAUAAUUGAGAUAAACUACUAAAUUUAGCAAAGCUAGAGAAAAGAAUAUUAGCUAUAAAAAGCACUGGCGCUUGUAACAGCUUAAACAAUUAUUUUUCAAAAAUUAGUACAUUUUUAUUGUUUGGGGGAUUGCUUUCUUAAUAAAUUCUCUUUGGAUAUUAUAACAGUUUGUUUUCUUUCUGCAAGUACAGUGAGUUUAGGAGAUUUUUCACAAAUUUAGUCUCUUAUACCUACAUUUAGUAAUAUUCAUAAAUAUUUGUGUGUGAAAUGCAAUAAAACAUUGUGAUUUCAGGCAAGGUACACGAAAAUGUAAUGAAUAAUUAAUAAUUAGCAGCUAUUUAAAGUGUCUUCAGUUCCCAAAGCAUUUCAAAUAAUUUGUUUUCCUUUUUACUUUCCGAUACCCUCUGAUAUAGUUAUCAUACCCAUUUUAUGGAUGACGAAGAACACUUGGAGAAGAUAAGAAAAUGGCCACAGUUACAAUGAGAUCAAAACAGCUCAAUCUUAAAAUCAAGUCUCUCACUCCAAAUGGAGAUUUUUAUGCUACAUUAUUACCAAAAUAAUUUUGUUUCUCUUUUCCUCAAGGAAGCACACAUUUGCUGUGAGCAUUAUAUAUUACUUAUUAAAAUUUAGUGAUUUUAGAAUCGUAAGAACUUUAGUAGAAUAUAGUUGAAAAAUCUGCAUACCUUGUAUAGAUCUAAAUCAAAGGAUACUAGAAAAUACAAGCUAUAUAAAGGGAUUACUUAAUUAUUCCUAUUUUAUCCUGUGUGAAAUUAGAAAAGAAGAAAGAGAGAAUCACUGUAAAGCAAAAUAAAAUGGUAGCAAAACUUCAAAUUUCAGGCUUAGAAUGAUCAUAUGUAUUACUGGAAUGGGCAAUGAACACUGAUAUCCAGUCUGUUGUAGGAAAAGUUUCAUUUUUUUCCUGUCCUUGUCCUUCAAGGUUAAGCUUACUUCCCAAGCUAUUCAACAGAUACUACAGAGAUAAACAACACAAGCAGCAGCAUCAAAAGGCUUGUUAUAAUUGCAGAAUCUGAAGCCCCAUCCCAGUUCUGAUGAAGCAGAAUCUGCAUUUUUAGCAGGAUCCCAGGUGAUUUGUGUGCACAUUAGUAUUGAGAAGCACUGCAUCCUCUGAAACUUCUACCAACGAUCAGGAAGGAGAAGAAAGAAACUGAGCAUGAACAACCCAGUAGUGUCAAGUGCCUGGAAUAAAGUCUGAGGAGAGUUUAGGGUUUAAUAUUAGAGACUCUUGGGUUAGCAAAUCUCUCCCCCAUUGACCUAACAUGCCUUCACUAUAAGAAAUGUUGUGGAGGCUGGGUGUGAUGGCUCACGCCUGUAAUGCCAGCACUUUGGGAGGCCAAGUAGGGUGGAACACCUAAGGUCAGGAGUUUGAGACCAGCCUGACCAACGUGGAGAAACCCCGUCUCUACUGAAAAUACAAAAUUAGCUGGGCGUGGUGGCACAUGCCCGUAUUCCCAGCUACUCAGGAGGCUGAGGCAGGAGAAUUACUUGAACCUGGGAGGUGGAGGUUGCGGUAGCCGAGAUCAUGCCAUUGCACUCCAGCCUGGGCAACAAGAGCAAGACUCCAUCUCAAAAAAUACAUAAGUAAAUGAAUAAAUAAAUAAAUAAAUAAAUGCUGUGGGGAGGGUGGUUGCAAUGAAGCUUCCCUUGAGAAGUCCAUACUUAAAUGUAACCACUGAAAGGUGAGAAAAUAAUAUAAUCUACCAGCAACCAUUAGCUUCUCCAGGCAAGCUGAUUGCUCAAUAGUGGAAAUUGAACAAGUGAGUCUUCAUUUCAAAUUGUAAGGUCUAGGACACCAGGGACUGUGACUGUGCCUGGCAUAGGAUACACACAAAUCCCUAUUUGAAUUAAACUUUUUUCAGGGAAAGCCCCAAAGGAUGAGAUGCUUCUGUUUGGGAAAGUCCUAUGAUAAAGAAUGAUCUGCAGUGUAGGUCCCCGGGGAAAAUUUAUCAUAAAAAAGAUGGCUAAGCCCAGGGUUAAAUUGAAGUUCAGGUUGCUUUUCUCUUCUAGGUGCCAAAUGCCAUUGUCUGGGCUUUUUUUUUAUCUUAACUGAACCUCCCCCGAAACCAAAUCUUACUUUCCUUGCAUCGUUCUGCAAGGACUUCCUGACUUAGUGACUAGCUAAUAGAAUACAAUUCAUACUAGUUAUUUCCUUAAAAUGAAUAAUGUUAAUCUUGGGAGACAAUGUUCUAAUACAAAUGUUUGCCAGUAAUGGAAAAAUGAUCCAUUUUUCCACCUCACUGGUAGAGAGGGAUACUUUGUGAUAGGGAAAGACUAAUGAUUCUUAAGACACUGGGUUUAAGCUACUUGAGUCUGGCCAGUUGAUGUUAUUACAUUUCAAUCUUUAGAUAAAUUAAUAAAGCUAAAAACAUCUUUAGCCUGCCAAUAGUCCCCAUUAAAAAUGUUUUUAUAGACAUCAAAAUUAUGUUAACAGAAUUCAAAAUGAAAGAAAAAUAACGCAAUGCCAUCAUCUCAACAAGCCAAAUUAUUUUUAUUUUUCUCUAUUUCCUUCUAGUUGUUUAUAAGCAGUGUCUAUUUUUUAAUGUAAUUUCCACAAUUACAUCAGUAUUAAUUGCCCCUGAGUUUGCCAGCCCCACUAGAGUUAUAGAUGUUGCUACACGUAGGCUGUACCAUGCCUGAUUUCAUAGUCAGCUCUGCACUAGACAGACUUUAAAACUAGGUGCUGUUAUAUUAGUGAGUGUGGGGUGAUGGGGAUAGAAAUUACUAUAUUGCACAUUCAAGAUUUUGGCUGUUUAAAAUUUUAAAUAUAAUAAACAACUCUGAGCUUCUCUCAUGCAGCUUUUUCCCAAUUUCCAGUUUUAUAAAGAUAUCUUACCACAAGUGAGAUUGUGAGGUUUGAAAAUGCAAACAUUUUUGUGUGGCUAUUUAAAGAUAUUAUAAAAAUUACUUUCAAAAAGCAUCCUUUGUUUUACUCCAUCACUAAGAAUUUGAGGCAGAGGUGGAAGGUUGGUAUUGGUAAGUUGCAAAAACUCCCCAGGUGGUUCUAAUGCACCAUUCUGGGCUAAGAACCACUAGAUACGUGUGAUGUUUUUACUGCAAUCAAACUAGCCUAGGUAUUACCAUUUAAAUACAUAUUUUUUCCAGUUUAUUUGGUAUAAAUGGUCCCUUAUUUGUGCCUUAUUUUUAGAGUUUUAACUAACAUGCAGUAAUCAAUAUUUUUAUAAAAGUUGUCCUGUUUUCUCUUUGAGCUCUACAGUAGAUUGAAAGGUAAAAGAGAUAAAGCAAUCUGCUGGGCGUGGUGGCUCACGCCUGUAAUGCCAGCACUUUGGGAGGCCGAGGCAUGUGGAUCACCUGAGGUCAGGAGUUCGAGACCAGCCUGGCCAACAUGGUGAAACCCCGUCUCUACUAAGAAUACAAAAAUUAGCCGGGGGUGGUGGCUCACACCUGUAAUCC